CUGCACCAUCAGCCCUCCUGGGUUGUUGCAGACGUUGAGAGACUGCUCAGCCUCGAUAACCGGAUGAGCCAAUUCUGAGGUCAAGAGCAUGGGUCCUGAGAAUGAUGUCUAGACGUUGCCUGCAAGCAACAAGAGAUAGAUUAACUGAAGAUUUAACAGCUUCUCAUGAACUGGAAGAAAUUUAACGUAUAGGACCUUGACCAAAAGAAUGCAAUUAUCCUCUGUGAUCACCCAAUCCAGAGAUAAGUACUAUUAACUUUCUCUGCUGCUUCUCUCUGUGUGUUAUGUGCAUGCAUA